rnacentral:rRNA from 1 species
AGAGUUUGAUCCUGGCUCAGGAUGAACGCUAGCGGCAGGCUUAACACAUGCAAGUCGAGGGGCAGCACGGGUAGCAAUACCUGGUGGCGACCGGCGCAAGGGUGCGUAACGCGUGAGCAACAUGCCCUAUACAGGGGGAUAAUCCAGGGAAACUUGGUCUAAUAUCCCAUAGUAUUUAGAGGAGGCAUCUUCUAUAAAUUAAAGCUUCGGUGGUAUAGGAUUGGCUCGCGUGACAUUAGCUAGAUGGUGAGGUAACGGCUCACCAUGGCAAUGAUGUCUAGGGGUUCUGAGAGGAAGGCCCCCCACACUGGGACUGAGACACGGCCCAGACUCCUACGGGAGGCAGCAGUGAGGAAUAUUGGACAAUGGAUGGAAAUCUGAUCCAGCCAUGCCGCGUGCAGGAAGACAGCCCUAUGGGUUGUAAACUGCUUUUAUAUGGGAGCAAUAAGGUCUACGUGUAGACUGAUGAGAGUACCAUAUGAAUAAGCAUCGGCUAACUCCGUGCCAGCAGCCGCGGUAAUACGGAGGAUGCGAGCGUUAUCCGGAUUUAUUGGGUUUAAAGGGUGCGUAGGCGGCCGAGUAAGUCAGCGGUGAAAUUUUGCAGCUUAACUGUAACAGUGCCGUUGAUACUGCAUGGCUAGGAUUUGGUUGCUGUGGGUGGAAUGUGUGGUGUAGCGGUGAAAUGCUUAGAUAUCACACAGAAUAUCAAUUGCGAAGGCAGCUCACAAAGCCAAGAUUGACGCUGAGGCACGAAAGUGUGGGGAUCAAACAGGAUUAGAUACCCUGGUAGUCCACACUGUAAACGAUGAUAACUCACUGCCGGCGAUACACAGUCGGUGGCCAAGCGAAAGCGAUAAGUUAUCCACCUGGGGAGUACGACCGCAAGGUUGAAACUCAAAGGAAUUGACGGGGGCCCGCACAAGCGGAGGAACAUGUGGUUUAAUUCGAUGAUACGCGAGGAACCUUACCCGGGCUUGAAUUGCAGAGGAAGGAUUUGGAGACAAUGACGCCCUUCGGGGCCUCUGUGAAGGUGCUGCAUGGUUGUCGUCAGCUCGUGCCGUGAGGUGUCGGCUUAAGUGCCAUAACGAGCGCAACCCUUGUUGUUAGUUACCAACAGGUAAAGCUGGGGACUCUAACGAGACUGCCACCGUAAGGUGUGAGGAAGGGGGGGAUGACGUCAAAUCAGCACGGCCCUU